CUGGAAUUCAGGAUGUAGAGCAGUGUCUCCCACUCAGUGUAUAUAAUCAAUUAUUACAUUUACCCAUUUUAUUGAUGCAGGGAAUCAGUUUGUCAUUAUUGUAUCCCUGACUCCGCACCCUUGCUCUUUUGCUUGCAAAAGUCAUGAGUGUGCAAAGUUUCUUAUGCGUGGUUAGUGGUAGUUCUCUGGAAAUAAGAUGCCUGGAUUAAUGUGG